AUUUAACACAUCAAUAACACCGAUAAAUUUAAUUAACAACAUUUAUGAAACUCUAUCUUAAUUCUUUGACUCUAAUAUGUUAUAUCAACUACAGGUGGCAAAAACGGGAAUGUUGGAUUGGAUAAUUCAUGAACUCGACGCCUGGCGAAAUUUUUGCUAUGCCUAAAAAGCGAAAAUAGUGGAGAAAACGGGAAUGUUGGAUUGGAUAGUUCAUGAACUCGGCGCUUGGCGAAAUUUUUGCUAUGCCUAAAAAGGGAAAAUAGUGGAGAAAGCGGGAAUGUUGGCUUGCAUAGUUCAUGAACUCGGCGCUUGGCGAAAUUUUUGGUGUGCCUAAGAAGUGAAAAU